rfam:Astyanax mexicanus Tnplaced_Scaffold_7542, whole genome shotgun sequence.
GAAUGUCUUGAAUGUAAGUCGCUCUGAAUAAGGGCGUCUGCUAAAUGCCUUAAA